AUUGGAUGAGCCCGCGGCCUAUCAGCUUGUUGGUGGGGUAAUGGCCUACCAAGGCGACGACGGGUAGCCGACCUGAGAGGGUGACCGGCCACACUGGGACUGAGACACGGCCCAGACUCCUACGGGAGGCAGCAGUGGGGAAUAUUGCACAAUGGGCGAAAGCCUGAUGCAGCGACGCCGCGUGAGGGAUGACGGCCUUCGGGUUGUAAAGCUCUUUAAGUGGGGAAGAAACAUCCCGGAACGAAUAAUUCCGGGACUUGACGGUACCCACAGAAAAAGUUCCGGCUAACUACGUGCCAGCAGCCGCGGCCGAAU
rnacentral:rRNA from 1 species